rnacentral:rRNA from 1 species
GGGGAAUAUUGCGCAAUGGCCUAACGGCUGACGCAGCGACGCCGCGUGUGGGAUGACGCCCUUCGGGGUGUAAACCACUGUUGCUCGAGACGAAUAGCGAACUUCAGUUCGCCUGACGGUAUCGAGUGAGGAAGCACCGGCUAACUCCGUGCCAGCAGCCGCGGUAAUACGGAGGGGGCUAGCGUUGUUCGGAAUUACUGGGCGUAAAGCGCGCGUAGGCGGCUUUGUAAGUUAGAGGUGAAAGCCCGGAGCUCAACUCCGGAAUUGCCUUUAAGACUGCAUCGCUAGAAUCGUGGAGAGGUGAGUGGAAUUCCGAGUGUAGAGGUGAAAUUCGUAGAUAUUCGGAAGAACACCAGUGGCGAAGGCGACUCACUGGACACGUAUUGACGCUGAGGUGCGAAAGCGUGGGGAGCAAA